UGCUUACACAUGCAAGUCUACUCGAAAGCUCUUCGGAGUGAUUAGGGUGGCGGACGGGUGAGUAACGCGUAAAGAACUUGCCCUUCAGACUGGGACAACUGUUGGAAACGACAGCUAAUACCGGAUAUUAUGAGACUAAGGCAUCUUAGACUUAUGAAAGCUAUAUGCGCUGAAGGAGAGCUUUGCGUCCUAUUAGCUAGUUGGUGAGGUAAUGGCUCACCAAGGCGACGAUAGGUAGCCGGCCUGAGAGGGUGAACGGCCACAAGGGGACUGAGACACGGCCCUUACUCCUACGGGAGGCAGCAGUGGGGAAUAUUGGACAAUGGACCAAAAGUCUGAUCCAGCAAUUCUGUGUGUUUGAUGAAGGCCUUCGGGUUGUAAAGAACUUUCAGUGGGGAAGAAGCAAGUGACGGUACCCACAAAAGAAGCGACGGCUAAAUACGUGCCAGCAGCCGCGGUAAUACGUAUGUCGCAAGCGUUAUCCGGAAUUAUUGGGCAUAAAGGGCGUCUAGGCGGUCUAAUAAGUCUGAUGUGAAAAUGCGGGGCUCAACUCCGUAUUGCGUUGGAAACUGUUAGACUAGAGUUUUGGAGAGGUAGGCGGAACUACAAGUGUAGAGGUGAAAUUCGUAGAGAUUUGUAGGAAUGCCGAUGACGAAGGUAGCUUACUGGACAAAUACUGACGCUGAAGCGCGAAAGCUAGGGGAGCAAACAGGAUUAGAUACCCUGGUAGUCCUAGCUGUAAACGACGAUCACUGGGGUGUGGGGGGUCGAACCUCUGUGCCGAAGUUAAUGCGAUAAGUGAUCCGCCUGGGGAGUACGGCCGCCAAGGCUGAAACUCAAAGGAAUUGACGGGACCCGCACAGGUGGGUGGAGCAUGUGGUUUANUCGACGCAACGCGAGAAACUUUACCAGUUCUUGACNUCCUCUAAACUUUCUGGAGACNGAUUGGUGCCCCUUCNGNGGAAUANAGNGACAGGUNGAUGCCUGGGCUGUCGNCANC
rnacentral:rRNA from 1 species